rnacentral:misc_RNA from 1 species
GAAAAUCUAACAUUAUCACAUCCAUCAAUAAUUCCAUAAUUUCAUUUUGAUAACCAUUAAGCAUUAGAUAAAGAUGAGAUUUGGUGAUAGCAAGGAGAGAGAGUACACAACUAAAAUCAUCCAAAUUGAACAAAUGACUAAAAAUUUUGAUCAAAAUGAAAUUGGGAAAUAGUUGAUGGUAUUUAUAAAGUCGGAUUAGCCAAAAAAAAA